rnacentral:lncRNA from 7 species
ACAGCUGAGAACAGAGCUGGAGAUGGAAGAUAGUGGGUGUGACAAAGAGAAGAGAGGGACUCACUGAGAAGACAGGAAUGAUGGAGAGACUGAGCAAAGAGGAAGGACUACCUGUCAUGCUGACCCAUACAUCUUACUACAACCUGCAGAUCACAGACUGAAACCUCCCUGACUAGAAGGGAAUGAAAAUUUUACUUGUCAAGAAAGUUUUAAUUACCAAGAUUGUUCUGCAGACUCAUUCAGAAAAAAAAGCACAAGAAAAAUCUUGAAAUUGUCUAAAGAGAAAAGGUUCUCAAAAAGCUUAUCAAGAAGAACCUAAAGAGGACACCCACAGAACUUACAUAAGGGCUCCUUGAGAAUGUCAUUUUGGAUCCACAGAGCAAAUAUGUACAGACAAGACACUGUGAUUUCAGUUUUGUGAAGAAAUGGGUGUUCAGAUUGAGCCAAUUAAGGUUUCGCAUGGCUGAGAUAAAAGUUUUGUCAUUAUUGAAUCUAGGAUUUAAAAACAAAGUCUCAGACUUCAUCCUGCUUCUGAGAAAGCUAGAUAGAGGCACUCUUUUAUGAGAAGAAGGCCAGGAGUGUUCUCAGACAUGACGGACAGCUAAAUGAAGCAAAUACUUCCAGAUAACUCCCGUAAGGGACUGCCUCACUGGAUUAUGAAGAUGCCCAUUCAGCUGAGAGAUGUGUCAUUUCUUAAUUUUAUUUUUCUGCAACAGCUGCUGAGUCUGUGACAGUCAAAGGGAGUGGGUAUUCAUUCCUCAGUUCAUGCAGGAUAUAAAAGGUUUCAGGAGGAGCUCCAGAACGGGACACAUAAUGUUUCAGACCCUUUAAAAUUCAGACAAAAGCUGCAAUCCUGGUACUGUCUGGCUCUGUUCCAUCUUCACUACCAUCAGUCCCCACUCAGAAACAUUCCUCCACACAGCUGUUGAUGUCACGUCACAAACGGUUCACACCCCACUGCCAUGACUUUUCCUUCCAUUCCUGUCACAAGGAUUUGGGAAUGAAAAGAGGACUUUCUCACACACUCAAUCCAAAGCCAUGUAGGCUAAAGGUUUUGCUCCAACUGCUGUGUGUUGGCCAGCUCUACCUAUUCACACUCCUAUGCUUGAACUCUUAUAACAUAGCAGUAGCAUUUUUGGUGGUCUAUUAAAAUGGCCAUUUUUUCUGCUAACAUAGGAAUGCAUAUUAAAGCAUAUGUUGUUCUGCAUAAAAAUCCCUUCAAUAAAUAAAUAAUAAUU